rnacentral:rRNA from 1 species
AAUGAACGCUAGCGGCAGGCCUAACACAUGCAAGUCGAGGGGUAACAGGGUAGCAAUAUCGCUGACGACCGGCGGUCGGGUGAGUAACGCGUAUGUAACCUUCCUUUAACUGGGGCAUAGCCCGGAGAAAUUCGGAUUAAUACCCCAUAACAUUGCGCAGAGGCAUCUUUUUGCAAUUAAAGCUCCGGCGGUUAAAGAUGGGCAUGCGUGCCAUUAGCUUGUUGGUGAGGUAACGGCUCACCAAGGCUACGAUGGUUAGGGGGUCUGAGAGGAUGAUCCCCCACACUGGUACUGAGACACGGACCAGACUCCUACGGGAGGCAGCAGUGAGGAAUAUUGGGCAAUGGGCGCAAGCCUGACCCAGCCAUGCCGCGUGAAGGAUGAAUGCCCUAUGGGUUGUAAACUUCUUUUGUACGGGACGAAUCUCUCGAACGUGUUCGGGGCUGACUGUACCGUACGAAUAAGCAUCGGCUAACUCCGUGCCAGCAGCCGCGGUAACAC